rnacentral:rRNA from 1 species
GACGAACGCUGGCGGCGUGCUUAACACAUGCAAGUCGUACGGUAAGGCCCUUUCGGGGGUACACGAGUGGCGAACGGGUGAGUAACACGUGAGUAACCUGCCCACAACUUUGGGAUAACGCUAGGAAACUGGUGCUAAUACUGGAUAUGUGCUCCUGCUGCAUGGUGGGGGUUGGAAAGCUCCGGCGGUUGUGGAUGGACUCGCGGCCUAUCAGCUUGUUGGUGGGGUAGUGGCCUACCAAGGCGGCGACGGGUAGCCGGCCUGAGAGGGUGACCGACCACAUUGGGACUGAGAUACGGCCCAGACUCCUACGGGAGGCAGCAGUGGGGAAUAUUGCACAAUGGGCGCAAGCCUGAUGCAGCAACGCCGCGUGCGGGAUGACGGCCUUCGGGUUGAAAACCGCUUUCAGCAGGGACGAAGCUUUUUGUGACGGUACCUGCAGAAGAAGCACCGGCUAACUACGUG